rnacentral:rRNA from 1 species
UACGAAGGGGGCUAGCGUUGCUCGGAAUCACUGGGCGUAAAGGGUGCGUAGGCGGGUCUUUAAGUCAGGGGUGAAAUCCUGGAGCUCAACUCCAGAAUUGCCUUUGAUACUGAAGAUCUUGAGUCCGGGAGAGGUGAGUGGAACUGCGAGUGUAGAGGUGAAAUUCGUAGAUAUUCGCAAGAACACCAGUGGCGAAGGCGGCUCACUGGCCCGGUACUGACGCUGAGGCACGAAAGCGUGGGGAGCAAACAGG